rnacentral:rRNA from 1 species
GCAUAUCAAUAAGCGGAGGAAAAGAAACCAACAGGGAUUGCCUCAGUAACGGCGAGUGAAGCGGCAACAGCUCAAAUUUGAAAUCUGGCCGCAAGGUCCGAGUUGUAAUUUGUAGAGGAUGCUUUUGGCGAGGUGACUUCCGAGUUCCCUGGAACGGGACGCCAUAGAGGGUGAGAGCCCCGUACGGUCGUGCCACCGAGCCUCUGUAAAGCUCCUUCGACGAGUCGAGUAGUUUGGGAAUGCUGCUCUAAAUGGGAGGUGUACGUCUUCUAAAGCUAAAUACCGGCCAGAGACCGAUAGCGCACAAGUAGAGUGAUCGAAAGAUGAAAAGCACUUUGAAAAGAGGGUUAAAAAGUACGUGAAAUUGUUGAAAGGGAAGCAUUCAUGACCAGACUUGGGCUUGGUUGAACAUCCGGCGUUCUCGCCGGUGCACUCUGCCAGCUCAGGCCAGCAUCAGUUUGCCCCGGGGGACAAAGGCGGCGGGAAUGUGGCUCCCUACGGGGAGUGUUAUAGCCCGUCGUGUAAUGCCCUGGGGUGGACUGAGGUUCGCGCUUCGGCACGGAUGCUGGCGUAAUGGUCAUCAAUGACCCGUCUUGAAACACGGACCAAGGAGUCGUCUUCGUAUGCGAGUGUUCGGGUGUCAAACCCCUACGCGUAAUGAAAGUGAACGUAGGUGAGAGCUUCGGCGCAUCACCGACCGAUCCUGAUGUUCUCGGAUGGAUUUGAGUAAGAGCAUACGGGGCCGGACCCGAAAGAAGGUGAACUAUGCCUGUAUAGGGUGAAGCCAGAGGAAACUCUGGUGGAGGCUCGCAGCGGUUCUGACGUGCAAAUCGAUCGUCAAAUAUGGGCAUGGGGGCGAAAGACUAAUCGAACCUUCUAGUAGCUGGUUUCCGCCGA